UACGUAGGGCGCAAGCGUUGUCCGGAAUUAUUGGGCGUAAAGAGCUCGUAGGCGGCUUGUCACGUCUGCUGUGAAAUCCCGGGGCUCAACCCCGGGCGUGCAGUGGAUACGGGCUGGCUAGAGGCAGGCAGGGGAGAACGGAAUUCCCGGUGUAGCGGUGAAAUGCGCAGAUAUCGGGAGGAACGACCGGUGGCGCAAGGCGGUUCUCUGGGCCUGU
rnacentral:rRNA from 1 species